UUACAGAUGAUUUUCUGGAGCAGUUUUCUUCGUUGUUUCUGUGUUUGGGACAGACAAUGACGCUAUGGAUACAAUAUGGCCUCAGUACUCUGGCAUGUCUGUGGGAACAGUUUUUUUUCACCAAUCUUCAUGUUAUUUUUGUUACUGUGUCCACACAACUCCAUAGCCUCUUUCAAUUCAGCUCGCGAGGUAAUUGAUCCACUAUUAUUACAAGAUUAUCCAUCACUACCACUACUACCGGGAGGACUUACUACGGUCAGAACACCAAAGUGUGACCAAAAAUUUGUAAGCACUCCAGAUGGACCGUUGAACGGAACCUUUCACGCACCGACGUUAAUCAAUCCUGAAGGAGAUCCACGACAGUGUGUUUACACAUUUCUUGCGGGACCGCGUCAGCGUGUUGAAUUGAUUUUCACCUCAUUCGGCCUCCGAGGAAAACCGCCAGAUGGAUCUGCUGUGGGAGAAUUACCUGCCUGUGUUCAUGAAUAUAUGGAUAUAUACUCAGAAAUACGAUCAGAAAACACAACUAAAUUAAUAGAGACGCCGUUUGGUGGACGAUUUUGCGGACCAAUUCCACCACGCAGACGAGUCUCCCUUUAUCAAGGAAUUGCUCUCAGUUUUUUCACUGAUAAAAAUGUCACACUACCGAAUAUUUUCAGCGGUAUUUACAGAUUUCUCAAUGCCUCCGAAUAUGAGGUUGGCACAUUAGAACCAAGUACACCGUGCACUUUCACAAUACAUGCGGAGACUAAACGUACUGGAAACAUACUGUCUCCUACUUACCCUGGCACUUAUCCAAAAGAUCUUAUUUGUAACUAUCAAUUUGUCGGACAACGUGGGCAACGCGUGCGGUUGGAAUUUCGUGACUUUGACUUGUUCUUUGGAGGACCACAUUGCCCGUUAGAUUAUGUGAAGGUAUAUGAUGGUCCUGAUAAUUCAACCGCUGUUAUCGGCACGUAUUGUGGCCAGCAACGAAAUUUAGUGUUGUACUCCUCAGAGAACAGCUUAUUCGUGCUGUUUUCUACAUUAAAACGCACGGCAAAUACACAAAAUCGAGGAUUUAAAGGUAUCUUCGAAUUCUCAGAGAGUUUUGUUAGCCUGGAUUUUAUAACAGAAUAUCAGGGUGAACAUAUCCGUGGAUCCGAAUGCGAUCAGAAGAUCCUCAGCAAAAAGGAAACAUCGGGGUUCGUAGUUAGUCCAAAUUUUCCAUAUCCUUAUAUACCUAAGGUUGUCUGCCGUUAUUUUAUUUACGGCAUGCAGGACUCGCAACAUCUGGAGCGCGUGCGACUGGAAUUUCAAAAGUUUACAAUACAGAUACCUAAAGGGGAGACAACGUGUACCGAUGGUUAUUUAAAAUUAUAUUUAAAAGGUCAAGAAGCAACAGAUUCUUAUGAUAAAUUUGAUUAUGAGAUGUGUGGUAACAAGAGCAAUCCGACACACGUAGUUAGCGACGGGCCGAGGCUUGUGAUGGUGUUCAGUAGCGGAGAAUUGCAGGCGCAGGGUUUUAAAGCUAAGUACGUUUUUGAAACGGAAUAUAAGAUACCAGGCACUGCGGCGCCCGAUGGCAGUUGUACGUUCACUUAUCGCAGUUCUUCUCGUAAACGUGGUGAAUUUAAUUCACCGCGAUAUCCUAGUAAUUAUCCGAGCGACACAAAUUGCACGUAUUUCUUCUUGGCAACGCCAAACGAACAGGUUGCUUUGAUUUUCGAUCACUUUAAGGUUCGCACAAGAAACGAUAAUGUCACAGUGGGACGUUACGGAUACGAACUCUGCCAGGAAGACUGGUUGGAGAUUUACAAUAUGUAUCGGGACGAUACAGAAAAGUUGAUAGGGAGAUAUUGUGGCGCUACCGCGCCAGGCCCGGUGGAGUCAAAUCUUGGUGCCCUUGGCUUAAAAGUGAUCUUACAUUCCGAUUCUGAGCUUGUUUACAGUGGCUUCAAAGCACGUUAUACUUUUGAGAUCGCUAAACCUAUUUUUGGAGAUUGUGGAUCAAAUAUUAGUAGUCUAAAUUAUGGUAUAAUAACUAGUCCAAAUUUCCCGAAUAAAUACGACGGUCCGGCAAGAAACUUAACUAGUAAAACUUGCAACUGGUUCAUAAGAGUUCGGCCAAGUCAGCAGAUACUCUUAAACUUCGAACUCUUCUCCGUAGAAGGUGAUCCACUAGGUCGAGGUUGUCCUGCAGCUGUAUUACGCAUGUGGGACUCGUUAACAUCUGCCCCGCGUGAGCUCUGUGGCGUCAAAGAUCCCGAAGCUAAAUGGAGUUUUCUUUCGGAGGAUAAUAACAUGCGACUCAGUUUUAUAUCAGCCGAUAAAGCCGUAGGGCACCUCGGCUUUCGAGCAGUGUGGACUGAAGUGGGCACAAAUAAAGAUUGUGAGGCUCAAUAUUUAUGCAGUAAAAGUAAAUACUGCAUUGACGAGUCACUACGAUGCAAUAACAUUGAUAAUUGCGGGCCAGACGAUUCAUCAGACGAGGAAAACUGUGCAGCAUCAGCCCCAUUGUCACCACCACUGACUGGGGUCUCUACUGCCAUGCUUCUUCUCUCUCUGUGCUUUCUAUUCGUGGCCACCUGAGCCCUCUUCAUGAAGCUUCCAGACGAUCCGGCAUGUAUGAUCUUCCCUUCUCACGUGUCACGGCUGUACCCACAGACAGUUAUACAAUGCCAAUAGUCUAUACAGUUGGCAGUAUCUUGGUAAUCUUGAUACUCUGUCUGAUUUGCCAUCGUAGACUGCGCCGUAGUAUGCCGAUC
rnacentral:misc_RNA from 1 species